UGGAUGUGGACGUCUCGGGCCUCGGCUGGAGGAUAUUCGGGGGAACUUUCACAAGCCUGCGAGAUCUCAUCUGGGGGAGAUAUAAAGGAACAGAGAAUUCCCGGGACGUCCAGUGAUUAGGACUCCGCGCUUUCAUUGCCGAGGGCCCCGGUUCAAUCCCUGGUCGGGGAACUAAGAUCCUGCAAACCACGCUGCAUGGCCAAAAAGAAAAAAAAGCAAGAAAGAAAUAGAAACAGCCAGUGGGAAUUUUCCAUCAAGACUCCAAACACAUAGCAGGAACCCAUCUGGUAUAGAAGGUGAGGUCUAGUCCCUUCGACCCGGCUCCUUGUUCCCAAGUUGUGUGCGUGCGUGUGAUCCCAACCAUCUACGAGUAGGUAGGGCCUGGGUUUCCCUGCUGUCCAGUGGAUGCAAUAUUCUGAUGAGUUUACAUGGGAAACUGGGGAAGGUGGGAGGAGACUCUGAUGGGCCAGGCUGACUCAGUAGCAAUGGGAAUCUACUUGUGGGAGCAGGGGGACGGAGCGUCUGAGGCCAUGAAGUUGAUCCUUGGUGUCCGUGUGACCAUGAA